GGGAGAGCAUGUGUGAGCCAGCACGCCCUGCCCACUUUGCCCUAUGUAGGCGCAAGGCCCUGUUUGGACACCUGUCCCCCACACCUCCAGAUGGUGACCCUGGAGGAAGAAUUGCACUGGGCCCACUGGCCCCGGGAAAAUGUCCCUCAGCCAGGUGCUCAGCCCCUGAUAAGCUGAAGCUCAGGCCCUUCCUGGUGCCCUGGUCUCCUGCACUGAGCUGUGUGAGCUCUUCAGCCCAGGUGGGCUCCCUGACAUUGAUGCGCAUAGGGUUUGGUGACGGGGAAGGCCAAGCAUGCCCCACAUCCAUGCUAGGUCAGUGUUCCUCAUGGACCCCAUCACAUGGAUAUCCCUUACCCCUUCCCCACAUGGAAGCAUGAGGCUCUGUUUGGACACAUGGCCUCUUCCUGUCCCCCACGAUGGUGAGCCUGGAGGAAGACUCGCAUUGGGCCCAGUGGACCCAGGCCAGUGGCCAUCAGCCAGGUGCCCACCCUGGUGUGCUGAAGCUCAGGACCUACCUGUUGUCCUGGUUUCCUACACUGAGCUGUGCGAGCUCUUCAACCCAGGCGGGGCACUCUGGCAUUCACCGGCAUAGAGUUCUGUGGCUAAGAGAGCACUGGGUACCCUGUGUCCGUGAUGGGCCAGUGUUCCUCAUGCAAACGAUAACAUGGGUCCAUGGAGGAUCGUGAAAUGGGAGGAAGAAUUGUGUUCGGCCUAAUGGCCCUGGGACAGUGUCCGUCAGCCUGGCAUCCAGCCCCUGGUGUGCUGAAGCUCAGGCCCUUCCUGGUGCCCUAGUCUCCUGCACUGAGCUUGUGAGCUCUUCGGCUCUGGCGGGUCCCCUGGGAUUGAUCAGCAUAGAUAGUGAACCUGGAGGAAGACUCUUCUUGGGUCCCCUGGCCCCAAGCCAAUGUCCAUCAGCCAGAUGCCAGACCCCAGUGCACUGAAGCUCAUGCCCUUCCUGGCGCCCUGGUCUCCUGCACUGAGCUGUGUGAGCUCUUUCGCCCAGCAGACUCCCUAGCAUUGACCGGCAUAGGUGAGUGUCUCCUGCUUGGGUCAUGGGCCAUGAGCCAGGCCAUAGGGUUGCCGAGGGUGAGCAUUUGAGCCAUGAGUGUUUCCUCAGGGGCCGACUUGAAUCCCCACCUGGGAUGUGUUCUCCAGGAGGGCAGCUUCCUUGUGAAUCUGAGCCAAGUAAGAUGCCUUCUCUGAAGCCCUGCAAGGGUGCCAGUUGUGCAGGCAAGAAAGGGUUCCCUUAGCCCCAGGCAGGGCAGUGCCCAGCAGAGACUCAGUGGU